UCGCCGUGUCAUUUACCUUUAUUUUAUAACACAGGAAAACUAUUAGUACAGAAAAACGUCAAUCUGAAUGUCCACUUGUUUGUUGAAAAGGGAAAACUAAGAAUUGGAAGAAUAGAACAAGUCAAAAUAGAGAAAGCUGUGACAGAUUACGUUAGUCAUCAUAUACCUCUAAACAACAAAGCUUACUAUGAUCACCAAAACAAUGGAAAUAAUGGCUUACAACAAACCAAAACAGAACACAAGUACAAUACCAGACACAGGAAUUACGAAUCCAGGCGCAGAAAAAAGAAUCGCAGUCGUUUCAAUGUUGCUGGUUAUUUGAAGAAACGGUUACAUAAAAACGCGGCUAGCAGAAAAAAGCAGCAUCGAUGAGGCUCAUGGAGAAACGAGUUGAUAAUAACAAUGCUAAUUUACGAUUCAAUUUACGGAAAAGUUACCAUAACUCAAUCCAGUAUGCUGAUUUUAAAAAUUUCGUUUACAAAAACUGAUACUUUUUGGUUCAAUAUACACUCAUUUCUUUCAUAAAACAGUAAUGUAUUUGUCUAAAACAUUCAACAUGUUAAAGUUGUGCCUAUUAUCUUUAACUUAAUAAAGCGAUUGCAAUUCUA